ACAGCCCGUGUUGUUCAGUACGGACGGCAGUAACGAACCAACAAUGUUAAGAAAACAUAAUAUGUUUUCAGCACGUGGACAGGAUCCAGAUGGUCUAAUGUGCCCCACUGCCAACUUCUAGAGCUCAGCACUCACUGCACCUGAAUAAAAACAGUUGUUUUCUUAAGUUCUCAUUAGAUUGUGAUUCGCCUGUGUAAAACACAUCAAAAUUAAAAUCAAGCAAAAGAAAUAAAGUCGUGG